CUUGCUACCAGGCGUCGAGCGGCGGACGGGUGAGUAAUACUUAGGAAUCUACCUAGUAGUGGGGGAUAGCUCGGGGAAACUCGAAUUAAUACCGCAUACGACCUACGGGAGAAAGGGGGCAGUUUACUGCUCUCGCUAUUAGAUGAGCCUAAGUCGGAUUAGCUAGAUGGUGGGGUAAAGGCCUACCAUGGCGACGAUCUGUAGCUGGUCUGAGAGGAUGAUCAGCCACACCGGGACUGAGACACGGCCCGGACUCCUACGGGAGGCAGCAGUGGGGAAUAUUGGACAAUGGGGGAAACCCUGAUCCAGCCAUGCCGCGUGUGUGAAGAAGGCCUUUUGGUUGUAAAGCACUUUAAGCAGUGAAGAAGACUCCGUGGUUAAUACCCACGGACGAUGACAUUAGCUGCAGAAUAAGCACCGGCUAACUCUGUGCCAGCAGCCGCGGUAAUACAGAGGGUGCAAGCGUUAAUCGGAAUUACUGGGCGUAAAGGGAGCGUAGGUGGCUCGAUAAGUCAGAUGUGAAAUCCCCGGGCUCAACCUGGGAACUGCAUCUGAUACUGUUGAGCUAGAGUAUGUGAGAGGAAGGUAGAAUUCCAGGUGUAGCGGUGAAAUGCGUAGAGAUCUGGAGGAAUACCGAUGGCGAAGGCAGCCUUCUGGCAUAAUACUGACACUGAGGCUCGAAAGCGUGGGUAGCAAACAGGAUUAGAUACCCUGGUAGUCCACGCCGUAAACGAUGUCUACUAGUCGUUGGGUCCCUUGAGGACUUAGUGACGCAGCUAACGCAAUAAGUAGACCGCCUGGGGAGUACGGCCGCAAGGUUAAAACUCAAAUGAAUUGACGGGGGCCCGCACAAGCGGUGGAGCAUGUGGUUUAAUUCGAUGCAACGCGAAGAACCUUACCUGGUCUUGACAUAUCUAGAAUCCUGCAGAGAUGCGGGAGUGCCUUCGGGAAUUAGAAUACAGGUGCUGCAUGGCUGUCGUCAGCUCGUGUCGUGAGAUGUUGGGUUAAGUCCCGCAACGAGCGCAACCCUUGUCCUUAGUUACCAGCGGGUUAAGCCGGGAACUCUAAGGAUACUGCCAGUGACAAACUGGAGGAAGGCGGGGACGACGUCAAGUCAUCAUGGCCCUUACGACCAGGGCUACACACGUGCUACAAUGGUAGGUACAGAGGGCAGCUACACAGCGAUGUGAUGCGAAUCUCAAAAAGCCUAUCGUAGUCCAGAUUGGAGUCUGCAACUCGACUCCAUGAAGUAGGAAUCGCUAGUAAUCGCGGAUCAGAAUGCCGCGGUGAAUACGUUCCCGGGCCUUGUACACACCGCCCGUCACACCAUGGGAGUUGAUUGCACCAGAAGUGGAUAGCUUAACCUUCGGGGGAGCG
rnacentral:rRNA from 1 species